rnacentral:rRNA from 1 species
CAGCAGCCGCGGUAACACGGAGGGGGCUAGCGUUGUUCGGAUUUACUGGGCGUAAAGGGCGCGUAGGCGGACUGAUAAGUCAGGGGUGAAAUCCCAAGGCUCAACCUUGGAACUGCCUUUGAUACUGUUUGUCUUGAGUUCGAGAGAGGUAAGUGGAACUGCGAGUGUAGAGGUGAAAUUCGUAGAUAUUCGCAAGAACACCAGUGGCGAAGGCGGCUUACUGGCUCGAAACUGACGCUGAGGCGCGAAAGCGAGGGGAGCAAACAGGAUUAGAUACCCCCGUAGUCCCUGUCUCUUAUAC